UAUACUGACAUGAUUUUUCUCUGUUCUAACCAGCGGUGAGGCAGCUGAAGGAAGCUGUGGACUCAUCCAUUAACAAGCUGUCCAACUUUGACGAAGUCAUUGAUGCACAUCUUCAGAAUAACCAGACGACAGUGGACAACAGCUUGGCCAGUCCAGACAGGCUUAAAGAAAACCAAAUAGACGCUAAAGAGAGCGAUAUGUCAGAUACCCUGAGCCCCAGCAAGGACAAAAGCAGUGACGACACAUCAGAUGGACAGAUGGAUGAACAAGAACUGAACGAGCCCCAGAACAGGGUUUCUCUUCUGAAAG